GUGUCGUUGCACACUCAAAGCUGUGGCACACUCAAGUGUCAUUGCACGUCCAAGUUGCGUUUCACACUCAGAUCCCUUUGCACACUCAAAUUCCAUUGCACACUUCCAUCCAGGUGCUGUUGCACGUUCAAGUCGUGUUGCACGCUCAAAUCCCGUUGCACAUCCAAGUGUCCUUGCACACUCAAAGCUGUGGCACAUCCAAGUGUCCUUGCACAUCCAAGUGCUGUUGCACGCUCAAACCUGUGGCACAAGCAAGUUGCAUUGCACACUCAAAUCCCAUCGCACAAUUUGCAUUGCACACUCAACCCUGUUGCACGCUCAGAUCUCAUUGCAAAUUCGAGUGUCGUUGCACACCCAAAUCCUUUUGCACAUCCAGGUGCUGUUGCACAUUCAAGUUGCAUUGCACAAUUCCCGUUGCACACCCACGUUGUGUUGCUCGCUCAGAUCUCCUUGCACACCCACGUGUCAUUGCACACCAGAUCCCGUUGCACGGCCAAGUUGUGUUGCACGCUCAAAUCCCAUUGCACAUCCAGCUGUUGUUGCACGUCCACGUGUCAUUGCACACUCAAAACCCAUGGCACGUCCAAGUUGCACUGCGCGAGUUCUGUUGCACACUCAAAUCCUGUUGCACGCCUAGCUGUUUUUGCACGUCCAAGUUGUGUUGCACACUCAAAUCCCACUGCACAUUUAAGUGCUGUUGCACACCGAAGAGCUUGUUGCACACCCGACCCUGUUGCACACUCAAGUGCCGUUGCACGUCCAAGUUGUGUUGCACACCCAAAUUCUGUUGCACAACCAAGUGUUGUUGCACCUCCACGUUGCAUUGCACAAAUCCCGUUGCACACCCAAGUGUCCUUGCACACCCAAAUCCCCUUGCACAUCCAAGUGCCGUCGCUCACUCACUCAAUCCUGUUGCACACUCAAGCGUCAUUGCACAUCCAAGUUGUGUUGCACGCUGAAAUCCUAUUGCACAUCCAAGCAUCGUUGCACGCCCAUGUUGCCUUGCAAACCCAAAUCCCUUUGCACACCCAGAUCCUCUUGCACGCCCCGGUUGCGUUGCAAGUCCCACUUGUGUUGCACGCCCAAAUCCCAUUGCACAUCCAGGUGCUGUUGCACGCCCAAUCCCGUUGCACAUCCAAGUGUUGUUGCACGCCCACUUGUGUUGCACACCCCCAUCCCUUUGCACACCCAGCUCCAUUGCACACACCCCAACCCCUUUGCACACGCCAAUCCUGUUGCAUGCCCGUGACCCGUUGCACGUCCCAGUUGUGUCACACACCCCAAACUCCUUGCACGUCCCACUUGUGUCGCACAUCCAAGUUGUGUUGCACGCCCCACUGGCUUUGCACGCCCCAGUUGUUGCACACCCCAACCCUGUUGCACACUCAGAUCCUUGCAGCAAGUCCCAGUUGCGUGGCACAUCCAACUUGUGUUGCACACCCCAACCCCUUUGCACACGCAUCGUUGCACAUCCAAGUGCCGUUGCACGUCUCAGUUGCCUUCCACACCUGA
rnacentral:lncRNA from 1 species